rnacentral:rRNA from 1 species
GACGAACGCUGGCGGCGUGCUUAACACAUGCAAGUCGAACGGAAAGGCCCUGCUUUUGUGGGGUGCUCGAGUGGCGAACGGGUGAGUAACACGUGAGUAACCUGCCCUUGACUUUGGGAUAACUUCAGGAAACUGGGGCUAAUACCGGAUAGGAGCUCCUGCUGCAUGGUGGGGGUUGGAAAGUUUCGGCGGUUGGGGAUGGACUCGCGGCUUAUCAGCUUGUUGGUGGGGUAGUGGCUUACCAAGGCUUUGACGGGUAGCCGGCCUGAGAGGGUGGCCGGCCACAUUGGGACUGAGAUACGGCCCAGACUCCUACGGGAGGCAGCAGUGGGGAAUAUUGCACAAUGGGCGGAAGCCUGAUGCAGCAACGCCGCGUGCGGGAUGACGGCCUUCGGGUUGUAAACCGCUUUCGCCUGUGACGAAGCGAGAGUGACGGUAAUGGGUAAAGAAGCACCGGCUAACUACGUG